AAGAAUGAUAUAGAUGCCAGUUUUCUACGGAUGUUCGACGCCUUUUUUGAAUCCGCUCCUCAGUUGAUCAUCCAGGUUUACAUUGCUAUCCAUGACGCGCACCAAAAAGCACUACACUUAGAAAUUCUGCGAGCUGUCACCAUUGCAUCCUCUUUAGCAGGUUAAGCAUGGUCUGUCACGGGAUACUACAGGGCACUGCGUAUCUUUUACGCAACUUCUGGUUUGAAAGCAAACACAAACUGUGGAGCUGUGGGGUACUUCCUCUGGCGAGUGUUCGAGAUCGGACCAAGAAUCACAGCCAUUGUGAUGUUGAUUUCAAUCGAAGGGAACGGUCCCUACUACGUAAUAUUUGGUGUUCUAUUCCAUUGGAUGAUCAUGAUAACUGUUGCAUUUUUCAAAAAUGUUAAAGCCUAUAAAACAAAAUUACACAACAUUUUAUUCAUUGUGUUCAUCGGCUUUGUGCAAAUCAUAUCCUUCAUGAACUUAAGUCGA